GUAUGUGACUCAGUGGUAGAGUGCUUGCCUAGCAUGCAUGAAGCCCUGGGUUCAAUUCCUCAGUACUACA
rnacentral:tRNA from 1 species